rnacentral:rRNA from 1 species
GAUGAACGCUGGCGGCGUGCCUAAUACAUGCAAGUCGAGCGAACAGACGAGGAGCUUGCUCCUUUGACGUUAGCGGCGGACGGGUGAGUAACACGUGGGUAACCUACCUAUAAGACUGGGAUAACUUCGGGAAACCGGAGCUAAUACCGGAUAAUAUUUCGAACCGCAUGGUUCGAUAGUGAAAGAUGGCUUUGCUAUCACUUAUAGAUGGACCUGCGCCGUAUUAGCUAGUUGGUAAGGUAACGGCUUACCAAGGCAACGAUACGUAGCCGACCUGAGAGGUUGAUCGGCCACACUGGAACUGAGACACGGUCCAGACUCCUACGGGAGGCAGCAGUAGGGAAUCUUCCGCAAAGGGCGAAAGCCUGACGGAGCAACGCCGCGUGAGUGAUGAAGGUCUUCGGAUCGUAAAACUCUGUUAUUAGGGAAGAACAAACGUGUAAGUAACUGUGCACGUCUUGACGGUACCUAAUCAGAAAGCCACGGCUAACUACGUG